UACGAAGGGUGCAAGCGUUAAUCGGAAUUACUGGGCGUAAAGCGCGUGUAGGCGGUCUAGCAAGUCGGAUGUGAAAGCCCUUGGCUCAACUGAGGAAGUGCAUUCGAAACUGACAAGCUAGAGUAUGGUAGAGGGUGGUGGAAUUUCCUGUGUAGCGGUGAAAUGCGUAGAUAUAGGAAGGAACACCAGUGGCGAAGGCGACCACCUGGACUGAUACUGACACUGAGGUGCGAAAGCGUGGGGAGCAAACAGGAUUAGAUA
rnacentral:rRNA from 1 species